rnacentral:rRNA from 1 species
GACGAACGCUGGCGGCGUGCUUAACACAUGCAAGUCGAACGGAAAGGCCCUGCUUUUGUGGGGUGCUCGAGUGGCGAACGGGUCAGUAACACGUGAGUAACCUGCCCUUGACUUUGGGAUAACUUCAGGAAACUGGGGCUAAUACCGGAUAGGAGCUCCUGCUGCAUGGUGGGGGUUGGAAAGUUUCGGCGGCUGGGGAUGGACUCGUGGCUUAUCAGCUUGUUGGUGGGGUAGUGGCUUACCAAGGCUUUGACGGGUAGCCGGCCUGAGAGGGUGACCGGCCACAUUGGGACUGAGAUACGGCCCAGACUCCUACGGGAGGCAGCAGUGGGGAAUAUUGCACAAUGGGCGGAAGCCUGAUGCAGCAACGCCGCGUGCGGGAUGACGGCCUUCGGGUUGUAAACCGCUUUCGCCUGUGACGAAGCGUGAGUGACGGUAAUGGGUAAAGAAGCACCGGCUAACUACGUG